UGGGGAAUUUUGGACAAUGGGCGAAAGCCUGAUCCAGCAAUGCCGCGUGUGUGAAGAAGGCCUUCGGGUUGUAAAGCACUUUUGUCCGGAAAGAAAUCCUUGGCUCUAAUACAGUCGGGGGAUGACGGUACCGGAAGAAUAAGCACCGGCUAACUACGUGCCAGCAGCCGCGGUAAUACGUAGGGUGCAAGCGUUAAUCGGAAUUACUGGGCGUAAAGCGUGCGCAGGCGGUUUGCUAAGACCGAUGUGAAAUCCCCGGGCUCAACCUGGGAACUGCAUUGGUGACUGGCAGGCUAGAGUAUGGCAGAGGGGGGUAGAAUUCCACGUGUAGCAGUGAAAUGCGUAGAGAUGUGGAGGAAUACCGAUGGCGAAGGCAGCCCCCUGGGCCAAUACUGACGCUCAUGCACGAAAGCGUGGGGAGCAAACAGGAUUAGAUACCCUGGUAGUCCACGCCCUAAAACGAUGUCAACUGGUUGUUGGGGAUUCAUUUCCUUAGUAACGUAGCUAACGCGUGAAGUUGACCGCCCGGGGAGUACGGUCGCAAGAUUAAAACUUAAAGGAAUUGACGGGGUCAUAGCUGUUUCCU
rnacentral:rRNA from 1 species